GGGCUCACGGCCUAUCAGCUUCGUUGGUGAGGUAAUGGCUUACCAAGGCGACGACGGGUAGCCGGCCUGAGAGGGUCGACCGGCCACACUGGGACUGAGACACGGCCCAGACUCCUACGGGAGGCAGCGGUGGGGAAUAUUGCACAAUGGGGCGCAAGCCUGAUGCAGGGACGCCCGCGUGAGGGAUGACGGCCUUCGGGUUUGUAAACCUCUGUUAGCAUCGAAGAAGCGAAAGUGACGGUAGGUGCAGAGAAAGCGCCGGCUAACUACGUGCCAGCAGCCGCGGUAAUACGUAGGGCGCGAGCGUUGUCCGGAAUUAUUGGGCGUAAAGAGCUUGUAGGCGGUUGGUCGCGUCUGCUGUGAAAGGCCGGGGCUUAACUCCGGUUUUGCAGUGGGUACGGGCUAACUAGAGUGCAGUAGGGGAGACUGGAAUUCCUGGUGUAGCGGUGGAAUGCACAGAUAUCAGGAGGAACACCGAUGGCGAAGGCAGGUCUCUGGGCUGUAACUGACGCUGAGAAGCGAAAGCAUGGGGAGCGAACAGGAUUAGAUACCCUGGUAGUCCAUGCCGUAAACGUUGGGCACUAGGUGUGGGGGACAUUCCACGUUUUCCGCGCCGUAGCUAACGCAUUAAGUGCCCCGCCUGGGGAGUACGGCCGCAAGGCUAAAACUCAAAGGAAUUGACGGGGGCCCGCACAAGCGGCGGAGCAUGCGGAUUAAUUCGAUGCAACGCGAAGAACCUUACCAAGGCUUGACAUGCAUUAGAUCGCGUCAGAGAUGGCGUUUCCCUUCGGGGCUGGUGUACAGGUGGUGCAUGGUUGUCGUCAGCUCGUGUCGUGAGAUGUUGGGUUAAGUCCCGCAACGAGCGCAACCCUCGUUCUAUGUUGCCAGCGGUUCGGCCGGGGACUCAUAGGAGACUGCCGGGGUCAACUCGGAGGAAGGUGGGGAUGACGUCAAAUCAUCAUGCCCCUUAUGUCUUGGGCUUCACGCAUGCUACAAUGGCCGGUACAGAGGGUUGCGAUACUGUGAGGUGGAGCUAAUCCCUUAAAGCCGGUCUCAGUUCGGAUUGGGGUCUGCAAACUCGACCCCAUGAAGUCGGAGUCGCUAGUAAUCGCAGAAUCAGCAACGCUGCGGUGAAUACGUUCCCGGGCCCUUGUACACACCGCCCGUC
rnacentral:rRNA from 1 species